rnacentral:rRNA from 1 species
GACGAACGCUGGCGGCGUGCUUAACACAUGCAAGUCGAACGGAAAGGCCCUGCUUUUGUGGGGUGCUCGAGUGGCGAACGGGUGAGUAACACGUGAGUAACCUGCCCUUGACUUUGGGAUAACUUCGGGAAACUGGGGCUAAUACCGGAUAGGAGCUCCUGCUGCACGGUGGGGGUUGGAGAGUUUCGGCGGUUGGGGAUGGACUCGCGGCUUAUCAGCUUGUUGGUGGGGUAGUGGCUUACCAAGGUUUUGACGGGUAGCCGGCCUGAGAGGGUGACCGGCCACAUUGGGACUGCGAUACGGCCCAGACUCCUACGGGAGGCAGCAGUGGGGAAUCUUGCACAAUGGGCGGAAGCCUGAUGCAGCAACGCCGCGUGCGGGAUGACGGCCUUCGGGUUGUAAACCGCUUUCGCCUGUGACGAAGCGUGAGUGACGGUAAUGGGUAAAGAAGCACCGGCUAACUACGUG